rnacentral:rRNA from 1 species
GACGAACGCUGGCGGCGUGCUUAACACAUGCAAGUCGAACGGAAAGGCCCUGCUUUUGUUGGGUGCUCGAGUGGCGAACGGGUGAGUAACACGUGAGUAACCUGCCCUUGACUUUGGGAUAACUUCAGGAAACUGGGUCUAAUACCGGAUAGGAGCUCCUGCUGCAUGGUGGGGGUUGGAAAGUUUCGGCGGUUGGGGAUGGACUCGCGGCUUAUCAGCUUGUUGGUGGGGUAGUGGCGUACCAAGGCUUUGACGGGUAGCCGGCCUGAGAGGGUGACCGGGGACAUUGGGACUACGAUACGGACCAGACUCCUACGGGAGGCAGCGGUGGAGAAUAUUGCACAACGGGGGGGAGUGUGAGACGGCAACGUCGCGUGCGGGAUGACGGGUUACGGGUUGUAAACCGCUUUCGACUGUGACGAAGCGUGAGUGACGGUAAUGAGUAAAGAAGCAACGGCUAACUACGUG